AACGCGAGAACCUUACCUGGUCUUGACAUCCACAGAACUUUCCAGAGAUGGAUUGGUGCCUUCGGGAACUGUGAGACAGGUGCUGCAUGGCUGUCGUCAGCUCGUGUUGUGAAAUGUUGGGUUAAGUCCCGCAACGAGCGCAACCCUUAUCCUUUGUUGCCAGCGGUCCGGCCGGGAACUCAAAGGAGACUGCCAGUGAUAAACUGGAGGAAGGUGGGGAUGACGUCAAGUCAUCAUGGCCCUUACGACCAGGGCUACACACGUGCUACAAUGGCGCAUACAAAGAGAAGCGACCUCGCGAGAGCAAGCGGACCUCAUAAAGUGCGUCGUAGUCCGGAUUGGAGUCUGCAACUCGACUCCAUGAAGUCGGAAUCGCUAGUAAUCGUAGAUCAGAAUGCUACGGUGAAUACGUUCCCGGGUCUUGUACACACCG
rnacentral:rRNA from 1 species